rnacentral:rRNA from 1 species
UACGAAGGACCCAAGCGUUAUCCGGAUUUAUUGGGCUUAAAGGGUGCGUAGGCGGGUUUUUAAGUCAGUGGUGAAAGCCUUCAGCUUAACUGAAGAAUUGCCAUUGAUACUGAUGAUCUUGAGUAUGAUUGAGGUGGGCGGAAUGUGUCAUGUAGCGGUGAAAUGCUUAGAUAUGACACAGAACACCGAUUGCGAAGGCAGCUCACUAAGUCAUAACUGACGCUGAUGCACGAAAGCGUGGGGAGCAAACAGG